rnacentral:lncRNA from 1 species
UUUGCAUUACCUGUUCAUCUUCCAACAAAUCCAUGAAAACUAAUGUUCUGGGAACCUUAAAAGCUAAACACCUCCAAGAUGUAUACCCAAGCUUCUUGAUUUCGUCCUCUAGGUCAAGAUAACCAAACCUAUCCUUAUCUAACCUGAAUCUACCUGUAACUUCACCACCAGAGUAUAAUCUACCUGCCCCUAAGCUGACAAACUUCCCACCAUGGUGAAUGUACAACCCAAAUUCGUCACUGCGGAAAUGAAAAAAAAAAGAAAUUAUUGCAAUCCACCUCAAAAUUCAAAGAAUCAGACACAUGCACAUAUACAUAUUAAAGGGCGGCAAAAAGCUAGGGUUCUAACAUCACCAGAGUAAAAUAAGGACGACAAAAAGCAAAGGAAUAUACCUGUCCCCCAUUCUGCAAAAAUAUCGUCAAAUC